GUAUGGUGCAAACGUUGUUCGGAAUCACUGGGCCUAAAGAGCGCGUAGGGCGGCUUGGUAAGUUAGGGCGUGAAAUCCCCCGGGCUCAACCGGGGAACUGCGCCUAAUACUGCCUCGCUAGAGUUCAGGAGGGGAGAGUGGAAUUCCUGGUGGAGCGGUGAAAUGCGUAGAUAUCAGGAGGAACGCCGGUGGCGAAAGCGACUCUCUGGUCUGACACUGACGCUGAGGCGCGAAAGCUAGGGGAGCAAACGGGAUUAGAUACCCCGGUAGUCCUAGCCCUAAACGAUGGGCACUAAGUAGAGGGAAUUCCGAUGUUUUCUCUGCUGAAGCUAACGUAUUAAGUGCCCCGCCUGGGGAGUAUGGUCGCAAGGCUG
rnacentral:rRNA from 1 species